rnacentral:rRNA from 1 species
UGGGGAAUAUUGGACAAUGGGCGCAAGCCUGAUCCAGCCAUGCCGCGUGAGUGAUGAAGGCCCUAGGGUUGUAAAGCUCUUUCACCGGUGAAGAUAAUGACGAUAACCGGAGAAGAAGCCCCGGCUAACUUCGUGCCAGCAGCCGCGGUAAUACGAAGGGGGCUAGCGUUGUUCGGAUUUACUGGGCGUAAAGCGCACGUAGGCGGACUAUUAAGUCAGGGGUGAAAUCCCGGGGCUCAACCCCGGAACUGCCUUUGAUACUGGUAGUCUUGAGUUCGAGAGAGGUGAGUGGAAUUCCGAGUGUAGAGGUGAAAUUCGUAGAUAUUCGGAGGAACACCAGUGGCGAAGGCGGCUCACUGGCUCGAUACUGACGCUGAGGUGCGAAAGCGUGGGGAGCAAACAGG